AAAUAGCUAAACUGAGCAGACAUGGGUAAGACCCAGGUAGCGGGCAAUAUGUUUUCACAGUUGGAUGUCAACUCGCUGAGAAGAGUAAUGGAAAUGUCACCCACCCCCAUAUGAAUAAACACCAGAUGCCAGGUCUUCCAACAAGAUGUCAGUAUAUUAAAGAUAAUGCAGCGAUUCUUGCACUAUCUUUAAUUUGGACUUCGGGGAUGCCAUGCCAUCAGCAACCUGGCAUGACAGAGAGGAUGUCUGCUGGUCUUGCCAGGAUGUUGGCAAGAUGCCACCGCUGUCACCUUCUCUGGUAAGUCCCUAUCUUUAUGGAAACAUCCCACCAUCUUUCAAGAAAUG
rnacentral:lncRNA from 1 species